CUGUGAAAGUGCAGCCAAGCAGUCCUGAAUCCCACACAGUGCCCACUUCGGCUGCAGUCAGGUGAGCUCCAGCCCUACAGGCAGCAGCAGCCAGCUGUGACUCGCACUUUCGGAGCACUGAGGGGCAGAUGGAGGCACAAUGGUGCCCGCAGAGGGGAGGGGACACGUGGCCACCUGUGGCUGUGGGCACCUGGACCACUGCCCAUCUCUCUGGGGCAGCCCCAGCCACAAGUCUCAUGGGAAGGGCCCUCCCCACACGUGCACCACACUGGGGAACAAAUUCCAGCUUUUCCACGAUUUCUUUCAGAUAAGAAAUUCUUUAGAAUAUUUUGUUUGUGUGUUUCCAGGCUGCAAAAUUAAUUUAAAGGGACACUGCCAAGGUUAGCAAGCCCAGAAUUUGAUUUGAGUGACUGUGUGUGUUUCCUAAUGACUUUGUAAAGUCUGCACAUAUCUUUCCUUCAUUUUAUUGUAUCUUUUUCUGAAGACAAAGAUAUUUCUCCAGGGAAAAUGUAUAAAGGCUGCAGGUCGGGCUUCAUGGGCACUCCUACUAAAUCUGCCCGGUGCUCAUACGUAACGGAGGGAAAGCAAAUUAGAAAGAAAGAAAGCUCCUCUUUCAAGCUUUCCAAAGAAAUGAGUUUAUUUUAAAAAGAAAAAGGAGUUGAACCAAGAGUCCUGUGCAGCUCCUUAAGCAACGCUGUCUGAAAUUUAAAAACCAAACGAACGUAGCAAGUGUUUGUUGGUGAUUAUGGGGCACUCACUGACUCCUGCAGCAGUUCCCACACUUCCCAGGGCCGCACUCUCCCAACAUCUUCUUCAACCCUUCCAGAUGCAACCAACUAAUCCCCACAGCGGCACUUUUCCACUGUAAUUGCUGGAUUUAUCAAUUAUCCAGUUGAUAACCUGUAAGAUGUGUAUCCUCCUAUAUGCAGUUGCAGAAUCUUCCUUUCCCCUUCACCGUGACCUUGCUUGAUGAAACAAGGCAGUGAUGCUUUUGGGUUCUUUUUUGGCCUUGCCUCAAAUACAUGGGCACAAAUGUUGUUAUGAACCACCUUUAGCUCUGGAAAUGUGUCUCAUUCAAAUAUUUUACUGACAGCAUGGUUGUGGCUGUUAGCUGAUUGCAGAAAUGGCCCAGUUGGAAUAACAGAAUGUCCCAUUCAAUACAAGCCCUGGAGACUUGCUGAAGAUGAGGUGAUCUGCUCUUGAACUGUGAGUUAUCAUAGAAUCAGAUACAGAUAACUUCAUCUAGAAGGUAAAUACCUAUUUCUAGGGCAUCACUUCAGAAAGAAAACUCAAAGAAAGUUCCCAAAAUACAUCCAUGUGGUUGAAUUAAAGAGGCAUUCUUACCUCUACCAGUUCUGAAUUUCCCUGAAACCAGUACCAAAAGUUUUUCUAUAACAUUUUCUGUUACAGCUUUGUGUUUUAUUGGUUGUUUUGGUGUUGUGGCUUUAUUUCAGGAGUGAAAUAAGGACACAUACUUACUCACAUGGAUAAAUAUUCUUACUUGUCCAGAUACAUAAGUUGUGCAGAGAAGUGAUGUAAGCUUGCUCUGCUGGUGAGUGUCCUCUCUAAUGGACUCUGUUUCUGUUCGCUUGCAGCAGCCAGCAGAACACGUGGAACUGCACGGCACGAUGAACUGUCGUGACACAAGGAUGGGCUGUCGUGACAUGAGCAUGGGCUGUCGUGACACGCCAAGUUUCUGGGUGCGGGUGGGAGCUGUCCAGCAGGGCCUGGAGCUGCAGAGGCUCCCAGCUGCUGCUCUGCCUCACAUCCUGGGAGCCACCAGCUCUGUGUGCUGCACCAGGCAAACACCAGGGGUUGGUUUCAUCUCCUGUAAAAGCAAAAGAAACGGUGUGCAGUGAGUCCUCCCUUCUUUAUGAGCACACGCACACAUAGUUUGUGGUCUCGGUGUUGGUGCCAAACAAGCUCAGCACAGCUGUGGCAGCCCUCCAUCCCUGCUGGAAAGGAAGCACCCACCUGCACAGGUCACCGUGGGAAACGCAAAACUGAUCGUAUAGGGAUUUGUUUAAGGCCACAUCGUAUCCCUUACAUGAAAGCAGUAUCUGUAGGAGUGCUCUUUAUUCCUUUCCUGCAGGGCUUUCUCGAGUAUCUUUUUUCCCACCUGUGUUUUAGGACCCUUCCAAUUUCACCUCCUACUGGUAACCCAUUAAGCUGAAGACCAAAAAGCGACACAACUGCUCCUCCAUUUGUCCAGUCAGAGAUUGGAGGAAGCUGUACGUGAUGGAAUUCAGCAAAGUAUUGUGUCACACACCAAAAUUUAAACUUCUUCUACCAGGAUUGCAGAUAUUCAUAAUGUUGGGCAUGCACACAAGUAGCUUGUUGAAUGGUGGCUAAAAUGAUGUCCUAUUUGUCAGUAUAAAUUCUACAUUAACACUUAUUCUGGACCACCAUGGUAAAAUAAAUCAUUAUCUUUGCCACUUAGUACUAAUGAAAAACAAUAUUAUUGGUAUUUCUCCUAUAGCAAUUCACUUAAAGAGAAAUGCUGUGCAAUUACAGAGGGUGGCUAACCAUGCCUCUUGAUCAACCUGAUAAUUAAUCAGAAUAGAAGAAAAAGCCCUGUAUUUCUGAGUGCUGAUCAGGCAGCAAAGGCACUCCAAACAUCUGAAGAAAAAACAGUUUGUUAAUUGCUGUCUAGACAGUUUAUUGCUGCAAUAAGAUCAAAACACAGAAUACUGAGGUUUGGGGUAUGAAUCAUGCAGACUAAACAAUUGUUUUAUUGCAUUUACAGAGCACUUGAUUUAUAAUGCAGUCAGUUUGGUAAUAAAAUUCCUCUAUUGUAUAUCCUGAAUAAUUUCACCUCUUUCUGCAUCUCUCUGUUUUAAUUCUUUAUCAGGAUGUUUUAAAAAUAUCCUUAUGGAGGGGAGAUUGCUGUUGUGUACGUAUAAAGUUACCUACCUCAGACCUCAGUUAUAUCACCACUGAGCAUCCAGUGCUCAGCUGAGCCUUUGUCAGCUGCUGGCAUUAAGGACACGUUGAAGAACAGAUUUAUUGGGCUGCUGUCUGCAGUGAGCACACUAGAGGAGAAGUAAGACUGUCCCAUUGCAAGAGGUUUCAUCCUACUUCACACUGAACUACAAGGAAUUGUUCAGGCAAGUGACUUUUUUUUCUUUGAUACUUAUUACUCUGCAAAACAUUUUUCCUGAAAGGAAUGAUUCAUCUCUCUUCUUGUUUACCUUCUUGGGUACCUCUGGAAGACCAAAGUUUAAGGGGAUUUUCCCAGGAACCCAGAAACUACUGGGAUGAAUUUUGAUCAAUAUGAUCAUCCCAGUGUCUAUGAAAUGCAAAGAAAUAACAAAUCGGAAUGCAGUUUUGGAGUGAAAUCAAACCAAAGACUCCACCUAGGGCAGGACCAACCUUCCUGGGUAUCCUGAGCACAUGGAGGAGACAAAUUUGCAGGGACAGCUGGAGGAGCACACGGGAUGGUGUGCAGCACAGAGGAGGGAGCCGACAUGAGAAAAGCACCAGGAGCCAUGGCUGUGAGCACGACCCAGGACUGCCCACCUCCAGGCUCCUCACAGCAGGGUGCUGCUGCACCCAGGUGGAGCCACGACAAGACAGAUGUGGGAACGCAACCUCAGACUUCAGCAUCCUCUGAAAACAGCAACGAGAGAGAGGGACCCCCAUUCGUGUGCCGACCUCAGAAAAUUUGAGAAAGACACCAGGCCUCAUACAGUGCUCGCAGGCGCGUCUGAGCAAAGCCCCACACACAAUACCAGCACGUUAUUCCUUCUCACGUGGCCGCUGAUCCAUGACGCUGGAAGUAUUUUAAAGACAUUGACCCAGAGUCUCAGUAAUGGAGCUGGGGGUGCUGGAGGUGCCCGGUCUGUUCCUACAUCUGCAGUUCAGGUUAUGUGAUCUUACCGUGCUGCUUCAAAACCACAAAACACUGUGGAGGUGUUUGCGAAUUUGCACAUCUCUUAUACUGCACCAUUGUGUGGUAAGUUAUACUGCAGCCUCCCCUGAGCUCAUUAACAAAAGCCCAUUGUGUGAGGGUGUUAUUCCCCACGUGCUCGGCCGGGACAUAUACGUGUCUCAUGGAAGUAUUGGGGAUCUUGCAUGAGAACUGCUUUUAGUAUUUCUGCUUGGACUUUAAUGACAUUUGUGCAGGUGCACAGCUUAUAAAAGGAAUUUUUUUCACUUCAGCUGUAGCAGCCAUUCCUAGCAGAUGGAUUUUUAGUAGCAGCCUUCAGAAUUGUUGCUGCAUCACUUAGUUUUAUACUCCUUUGUAUUUGCUAGGGAUGCGCUCGAGUGUAUUUCCAGCACAUAGGGUAUGUCUGUGUGUGGCUGGGGGAAGGCUUGUGCCAGUCCAUGAGGGCUAAAUCAAGUCCAGGGCAACUGCAAGGGAGGAUGUGUGCAGACAUGAAUAAACUCGCCUUUUCAGCCCAGUGCUGCUUCACAUUA